UUAAAUAACUUAUGUCCUGGUUAUAUGAAGAACUUAUUAACCCCUUUCAAAAAUGUACAUUGCCAAAACACACGAGGAUCAACUAACAAUAAUCUAGUACUGCCUAGAGUAAGCACCAAUUCUGGUAAACGCUCGUUUUCUUUUCUUGCUUCUAGUGAUUGGAACUCCUUAGACGUAGACAUACGUAAUGCAUCAACACUUUCUCAAUUUAGAAAUGCCUAUUUAAAUAUGGCAAUAUAAAUUAAGUUUGUCUUAUUUGAAAGAACAUUUAAAAUGAUAUAUAAACUUCUUUUACAAUUAUUCC
rnacentral:lncRNA from 1 species